rnacentral:rRNA from 1 species
GACCUGCGGAGGGANCAUUACACAAAUAUGAAGGCGGGCUGGAACCUCUCGGGGUUACAGCCUUGCUGAAUUAUUCACCCUUGUCUUUUGCGUACUUCUUAGUUUCCUUGGUGGGUUCGCCCACCACUAGGACAAACAUAAACCUUUUGUAAUUGCAAUCAGCGUCAGUAACAAAUUAAUAAUUACAACUUUCAACAACGGAUCUCUUGGUUCUGGCAUCGAUGAAGAACGCAGCGAAAUGCGAUAAGUAGUGUGAAUUGCAGAAUUCAGUGAAUCAUCGAAUCUUUGAACGCACAUUGCGCCCUUUGGUAUUCCAAAGGGCAUGCCUGUUCGAGCGUCAUUUGUACCCUCAAGCUUUGCUUGGUGUUGGGCGUCUUGUCUCUAGCUUUGCUGGAGACUCGCCUUAAAGUAAUUGGCAGCCGGCCUACUGGUUUCGGAGCGCAGCACAAGUCGCACUCUCUAUCAGCAAAGGUCUAGCAUCCAUUAAGCCUUUUUUUCAACUUUUGACCUCGGAUCAGGUAGGGAUACCCGCUGAACUUAA